GCUGUAGGCCAGCGGUAGGGCACCUGCCUUGCAUUCAGAAGGUCCCAGGUUCAAUCCCUGGCAUCUCCA